GACGAACGCUGGCGGCGUGCUUAACACAUGCAAGUCGAACGGUAAGGCCCUUCGGGGUACACGAGUGGCGAACGGGUGAGUAACACGUGGGUGAUCUGCCCUGCACUUCGGGAUAAGCCUGGGAAACUGGGUCUAAUACCGGAUAGGACCACUGCCUGCAUGGGUGGUGGUGGAAAGCCUUUGCGGUGUGGGAUGGGCCCGCGGCCUAUCAGCUUGUUGGUGGGGUGAUGGCCUACCAAGGCGACGACGGGUAGCCGGCCUGAGAGGGUGACCGGCCACACUGGGACUGAGAUACGGCCCAGACUCCUACGGGAGGCAGCAGUGGGGAGUAUUGCACAAUGGGCGCAAGCCUGAUGCAGCGACGCCGCGUGAGGGAUGACGGCCUUCGGGUUGUAAACCUCUUUCAGCACCGACGAAGCGCAAGUGACGGUAGGUGCAGAAGAAGGACCGGCCAACUACGUGCCAGCAGCCGCAGUAA
rnacentral:rRNA from 1 species